GGCAUUGACUGAUGGUCGAGCGGCAAAGACAUUUGACUCUCACUCAAAAGUCUCGGGUUCGACUCCCGGCCGUGGCA